AGGGAAAUAACUCAGUCGAUUACAGUGCUGGUCUGUCACGCCAAAAGUCAUAAGUUUGAACCCUAUUUUCCCUG
rnacentral:tRNA from 1 species